rnacentral:rRNA from 1 species
AGUGAACGCUGGCGGUAGGCCUAACACAUGCAAGUCGAACGGCAGCACAGUAAGAGCUUGCUCUUACGGGUGGCGAGUGGCGGACGGGUGAGGAAUACAUCGGAAUCUACUUUUUCGUGGGGGAUAACGUCGGGAAACUUACGCUAAUACCGCAUACGACCUACGGGUGAAAGCAGGGGAUCUUCGGACCUUGCGCGAUUGAAUGAGCCGAUGUCGGAUUAGCUAGCUGGCGGGGUAACGGCCCACCAAGGCGACGGUCCGUAGCUGGUCAGAGAGGAUGAUCAGCCACACUGGAACUGAGACACGGUCCAGACUCCUACUGGAGGCAGCAGUGGGGAAUAUUGGAAGAUAGGCGCAAGCAUGAUCCAGCCAUGCCGCGUAGGUGAAGAAGGCCUUCGGGUGUGAAAGCCCUUUUGUUGGGAAAGAAAAGCAGCAUGUUAAUACCCCGCUGUUCUGACGGUACCCGAAGAAUAAGCACCGGCUAACUUCGUG